GGAUAACCUACCCUUAGGACCGGGAUAACCCUGGGAAACUGGGGAUAAUACUGGAUAGGCAAUUUUUCCUGUAAUGGUUUUUUGUUUAAAUGUUUUUUCGCCUAAGGAUGGGUCUGCGGCCGAUUAGGUAGUUGGUUAGGUAAUGGCUUACCAAGCCGUUGAUCGGUACGGGUUGUGAGAGCAAGAGCCCGGAGAUGGAACCUGAGACAAGGUUCCAGGCCCUACGGGGUGCAGCAGGCGCGAAACCUCCGCAAUGUGAGAAAUCGCGACGGGGGGAUCCCAAGUGCCAUUCUUAACGGGAUGGCUUUUCAUUAGUGUAAAGAGCUUUUGGAAUAAGAGCUGGGCAAGACCGGUGCCAGCCGCCGCGGUAACACCGGCAGCUCUAGUGGUAGCAAUUUUUAUUGGGCCUAAAGCGUCCGUAGCCGGUUUAAUAAGUCUCUGGUGAAAUCCUGCAGCUUAACUGUGGGAAUUGCUGGAGAUACUAUUAGACUUGAGACCGGGAGAGGUUAGAGGUACUCCCAGGGUAGAGGUGAAAUUCUGUAAUCCUGGGAGGACCGCCUGUUGCGAAGGCGUCUAGCUGGAACGGUUCUGACGGUGAGGGACGAAAGUUAGGGGCGCGAACCGGAUUAGAUACCCGGGUAGUCCUAACUGUAAACGAUGCGGACUUGGUGUUGGGGUG
rnacentral:rRNA from 1 species